rnacentral:rRNA from 1 species
GACCUGACGGCAAGGGACGAAAGCUAGGGGCACGAACCGGAUUAGAUACCCGGGUAGUCCUAGCCGUAAACGAUACUCGCUAGGUGUCGGCCACGGUGCGACCGUUGUCGGUGCCGUAGGGAAGCCGUGAAGCGAGCCACCUGGGAAGUACGGCCGCAAGGCUGAAACUUAAAGGAAUUGGCGGGGGAGCACCACAACGGGUGGAGCUUGCGGUUUAAUUGGAUUCAACGCCGGAAAUCUUACCGGGACCGACAGCAAUAUGAAGGCCAGGCUGAAGACUUUGCCGGAUUAGCUGAGAGGUGGUGCAUGGCCGUCGUCAGUUCGUACUGUGAAGCAUCCUGUUAAGUCAGGCAACGAGCGAGACCCAA